UGAAUAGCCGGGAGCGGCGGUUGCACCUGCAGUUACUUUCCCUCUUUCUUGUUUAAACCUUCCCUUCUCAGUCCGUCGUCCUGCACACCCCAAGUUUAGGGUUGCUGCAAACGUUAAAAUCCCCGCACCCGCGCGUGCUUCCCGCGAGUUUUGAAGUAUUUCACUGGUAUUAAAGAAGUAAAUGCUUGGGAUAAAUAUUAUCAUCAUGAAAAAGUUUGUUUUGUUCAAGCAUAUGAAAGAUGACCCUGGAAUUUUUUAAUUGGAAAGGAAAUGACAAGAACAAACUCUGCUUACUGCCUCAUUAUGUCCACCCUUUCGAAAUUCAGUUACAUAUGGUUCUGCUUACUCAACUCGGAUGUUCUCAGGGUAACUUGGUGAAAUGAUUUGACUUCCUUUCUGGAACUCACAGAACCCACAUUCAACGUGGAAGUGAUGGAUGAAGCCAGGAAUUCUGAGUCUGAGAGACAGUGAUUCCUGAAGUGAUUGGCAAAAUGAAGUGUAUGUCUGUGUAGAAUUUUUCUGCAAGAAAGACACCAGUUUGAAAUUGGAAGCUUAAAUGGGUUUGAGCCCAACAAUAAUGUUAAAAAAAAAAAAAAAAAAAAAAA